UGGCCUGUAGCUUAGCGGUAGAGCGCCUCGUUGAUAGCGGGGACGGUGUAGGUUCGAAUCCCACCAGUCCGA
rnacentral:tRNA from 1 species